rnacentral:miRNA from 1 species
GCGUAGGGGUGAAAGCCAUGGA